AUCCUACACACACCAGAUGAGUGUCCGUAGAGGGGGGCAGUGGGUCUGUUUCCGUCUCCAAAUCGGCGGUGCUCCAGGCGACACCGUAUCCGGACUCGGGCUUCCUAUCCCAGGCUGUGUCGGCGAGCCGCCCGAGCUCCCAGCAUGCUUCCCAGCCGUAAUGGCCGCUUCUAUCCGAGGCUUUGCGGUCUCUGCCUCUGCCUCCGUGUGAGUGUGAAUGUGAAUGUUUCUCUCCUUCUUUUGCUCAGGUUUCUCGUUUCUUCCUGCAGUGGCUGUCUUCCAUCCCUCUCUACCGGCCACGCCAGGAACCACCGCCACAGGAAUUUCAGGAGCCGGUGGGAAGGAGCUAGCUAUCUUACAUGGCUGCCGGUGGGAAAUGGAGCUGGAGCGCCCCCACAUGGUGAGCUCGGCUCGGUGACGGAUAAACUAUUAAACCCCCUGCCUAGGUCAAAAAGUGAAUCUGCCCGGUCCUAGUGAGUGAAACACCACCAGUGGAUAAUCUCAGCACGCCAUCAUCCUGAGGUCCACGCUCAUAAAGCAGCCUCAUUGAAAUGAUCUAGAGAUUAUGUUAUUUAAUCUUACAGAGACACAUAAAACACAAUGUCAGGUCCAUCCUGCCUCUAGAAAAGAGUAUAUUUAUGUGUAUAUUUCUCUCACUGGAAAAUAGAGAUUGUAUAGUUGGAAGAGCAGGAGACGUCAUGUAUACACCUUUUUUUGACAAAGGUUGAAUGUGGAUUUCUGUCGGACUGAAAUCAAUAUUAGAUCGCAAAACAAAUAAAGAAGCAUGAAUGGCAAGGCAGACAGCUUUCAAAUCUCUGCAUUGACUUUCAGAUCCUGUCUGUGUGGGCUGGAUUUGAUCUCCUGCUUUCAACACUU